AUCACUUCUCGGCCUUUUGGCCAAGAUCAAGUGUAGUAUCUGUUCUUAUCAGUUUAAUAUUUUCAAGACAGAGAGAGACAGAGCACAACCAGGGGAGGGGCAGAGAGAGAGGGAAACACAGAAUCUGAAACAGGCUCCAGGCUCCAAGCUGGCAGCACAGAGCCCAACUUGGGGGUCCAACUCAC